ensembl:snoRNA
AUCUUUUUAUGGUUCAUAAGCAUGAUGAUUAGCUUUUUACACCACUGUGAGAUGUGGCUCACUCAAAUCUUGUUGCAGCAUCAGCACAGUACCCAUCUUACA